CCAGAAUCAGGGCAGUGAUCGUGACAAAGGCCAGGGUCGCGCGGUCGGGCAUCAGAUUGGCUAGCACUACGACGAUACCCGAGGUAGAUGACACACAUUAUCUGUUUCUCUUACGACAAAAUCUCGCACGAGUAAUACGGUACGUAACGAAUAAUAGAAGUGACCGACUAAGAAGAAAAUGCAAAGGAGCCGCAUGAGAAAAGGUUUAGAGGGAUGAAGAGAUUCAGACAUUUAAGUAACCUCCAGAGAACUCCAUUCUUCUUAACGAUUGUAAAAGAAACAUCUCAGAAAAUUACUUUCUGUUAAGCAGUUAACGACGGAUUGAAGGUAAACCUAGAACAGAUUCUGUCCAUUUUAUUUGUCAAUCGUGAGAAACGUAAUUUUCAUAAUACAUUGAUUUUAUUUUUAAUUUAUAUUCUUACAAGUUAUGACAUUUUUAGCUAAUUUUAACUAAUCUUACAAAUAAAUAUUAAUCCGAUAAAUAUUUAUCAUCAA